ACACUUUUCAUUACAAUUUAUAAUUUAUAUCAAAUUCAUAUAUAGUGUACAUACAUAUUAGUUCUAAUUUAAAAUUUUAAUAUUUUUCAUGCUAUUUAUAACUAUAUUAACUAUAUUUAUAACUAUAUUAACCCAUUGAGUGGCACCACUCUCCCCCUGAUGAGUAACAUCGUCUGGCGUUAGACAGAGUAAAAUAAUAAAGUGGGGCGCAUUAAUUGCCGCUUAAAUGGUUAACAGGGUGCAUGGGCAGAUAGUCUGAUUAACCCAUUGAGUGGCAGAACUCUCCCCCCAUGAGUAAAAUCGUCUGGCAUUAGACAGAGUAAAAUAAUAAAGAGGGAUGCAUUUCCUCUUGAUCUGUCAAAAUUGAAUAUUGCCCAUGUUGGCAUCAGGGGAGUUGUAAUAUUUUUUGGUUUAUUGCUACUAGGCUUGUUGUUCAUUUACCAAGAGAGGAAUAAGGGGCUGCUUAUAAGGGGCUGGCCCGUGUUAACUGAAGCGCCAGUCUUCACGAAACCUUUGCAACAAGCUAAAUGGUUGAGUACAAUACUUGUCGUGUACAUAAUUUUUGCCACCAAAUUGCUAGCUCAUCAAAUCUACGCAGGCUCAGAAUUUAAGUUUUGGGUAUUUAAAAAAAUGCUUACCUUCGCUUUGAAAUAGCAAUAGAGCACAUUUUUCUAUCUUAAUUAAUUUGUUAACAAGAAUCGGGUAGGUAAAAGUACUACCGUCCCAGUUUGAAACAAAGAUUUCCUUGAUGUCUUUUUUACAUUUUCUUACAUAUGCCUUUUUGGUGGUUUCGUUCCAGGUGUAGCACCAGAUGGAGGACUGUGAUAUCUCUAGGUGCUUUCAGACAUU